rnacentral:rRNA from 1 species
GCUUAGGGCCAUACCCCCCUGAAUGUGCCCGAUCACGUCUGAUCUCGGAAGCUAUGCAGGGUCAGGCCUGGUUAGUACUUGGAUGGAAGACCGCCUGGGAAUACCAGGUGCUGUAAGCU